UUACGGUCAUAUCACAUUGAAACACCGUUUCCCGUACGAUCAUCGAAGUUAAGCAACGGCGAUACUGUUCAGUACCUAGAUGGAUGACCCCUUGGGAAUACCUUGUACAGUAA